rnacentral:rRNA from 1 species
UACGUUCCCGGGCCUUGUACACACCGCCCGUCAAGCCAUGGAAGUUGGGAGUGCCUAAAGUCGGUCACCGCAAGGAGCUGCCUAAGGCAAAACCAGUAACUGGGGCU